rnacentral:rRNA from 1 species
GAUGAACGCUGGCGGCGUGCCUAAUACAUGCAAGUCGAGCGAACAGACGAGGAGCUUGCUCCUCUGACGUUAGCGGCGGACGGGUGAGUAACACGUGGAUAACCUACCUAUAAGACUGGGAUAACUUCGGGAAACCGGAGCUAAUACCGGAUAAUAUAUUGAACCGCAUGGUUCAAUAGUGAAAGACGGUUUUGCUGUCACUUAUAGAUGGAUCCGCGCCGCAUUAGCUAGUUGGUAAGGUAACGGCUUACCAAGGCGACGAUGCGUAGCCGACCUGAGAGGGUGAUCGGCCACACUGGAACUGAGACACGGUCCAGACUCCUACGGGAGGCAGCAGUAGGGAAUCUUCCGCAAAGGGCGAAAGCCUGACGGAGCAACGCCGCGUGAGUGAUGAAGGUCUUCGGAUCGUAAAACUCUGUUAUUAGGGAAGAACAAAUGUGUAAGUAACUAUGCACGUCUUGAUGGUACCUAAUCAGAAAGCCACGGCUAACUACGUG